UCAUCUCAUUUCAUCUCAAUUCAUCUCAUCAUUUCAUCUCCUCAUCUCAUCAUUUCCUCCUUUCAUUACAACAUUUCAUCUCAUUUCUUCUCAUCUCAUUUCAAUUUCAUCUCAUAUUUUUGAUAUCAUUUUUCAUCUCAUUUCAUCUCAAUUCAUCUCAUCAUUUCAUCUCCUCAUCUCAUCAUUUCCUCCUUUCAUUACAACAUUUCAUCUCAUUUCUUCUCAUCUCAUUUCAAUUUCAUUAUUUCAUCUCAUUUCAUUAUUUCACCUAAUUUCAUUAUUUCAUCUCAUCUCAUCUCAGUUCAUCUGAUCUCAUUUCAUCUCAGCAUUUCAU
rnacentral:lncRNA from 1 species